rnacentral:rRNA from 1 species
UACGAAGGGGGCUAGCGUUGUUCGGAAUUACUGGGCGUAAAGCGCACGUAGGCGGCUUUGCAAGUUAGAGGUGAAAGCCCGGGGCUCGACUCCGGAAUUGCCUUUAAAACUGCAUCGCUAGAAUUGUGGAGAGGUAAGUGGAAUUCCGAGUGUAGAGGUGAAAUUCGUAGAUAUUCGGAAGAACACCAGUGGCGAAGGCGACUUACUGGACACAUAUUGACGCUGAGGUGCGAAAGCGUGGGGAGCAAACAGG